CUAAGACAGAUCGUGUCGCCCGCUCCGAUCCCGCGGAUUCUUCUCUUCUCGCCCUCGCUCGUCGCCAUCAUGCUAAUUAAGGAGCGCGACUUCAACACUCGUCGUCAUCAAUCCAGGUUCCAAAACCCUAAUCCCAUCUUUUUACUUAUCGAGAAACGAUCGGCCCUGAGGUGCGUAUGUCAUUUUGUCGGGAGGGAUUGCUGUACGCUUUGAUUCGGUGGACUCAUGAUUGAAGCGUUGCAAACCGAUGUAGGAUUCGAUGCCCUACACAUGCGUCACAAGGAACAGAGUUGUUUGCCACCUCUAGCCCUAACAGAGUUAGGGUACCACUUACAUGAACCACAUGAUCAACCCACGCAUGUUUGUAAUUGAUCAUGUGGUUCAUGUGAGUAGUACCCUAACAUGGAAUUUUGGAAUUGGGAUGAUGAUGAAAAGAGGAUUUGAGUUCAUACAUAAAUGUGCUUAGAGCAUUAAACGAAGCUCGUGCAUCAAAUGUCAGAAGAGUUACGAGAUUUCUUUUACCAAUGUCUCUAUCAGCUGACAAAGUUCAACAACUCAUAUGUUUGGAAAGGUUAUUGUCUUAUGUAGAGGCAAACCCACUUCUUUGUGCCGAUGGGAUGAACAUCUGUGCCAAGGGGGUGGCGUGGCAUUUGGUCUUGGCUUCAUCUCGGUCUAAGCUUUGGAAGGUUGCUUAGCGGUUGUUCGAGUUACUUCAUUGGUCAGCCAGUUUCUUAUGAUUUACAUCCAAAUCACUUUCUUGCCCAAAUUUUCUCCAGUGAGGAAUUAUGCAUCAGAUUUUGAAAGGCUGGCAUCAAAUCAAAUUUGAGGAAACAGUAUUCCUUCCAGCAGUUGCAUGUGAGAGCCAUUACAAAAUAGUGAGGACUGUCAUAACCCAUGUCGGAGAAGAUAGUGAUGCCAAUGGACUCUGCCAGACUUGUGCGACAACUGGUCUUAUCAUUCAACUCUUUAGAACCAAGUGUUGCUUUUUGGUUAAUUAGAACCUUCCUCACUUAGGAGGAUAUCUGAUGCAAAAUUUCUAACACCAAACAUACAGUAGUCUAACUUUGUGUGGAACGCAAAUCAAAUCAUUAUUAUUCGUUGGUUUGUAUUUUUAGUUUGGCAGUAAUCUUGCAUCUCAAAAAUAGUCCUUUUGGGAAAUCACCGUGCAAUAUCUAAAUAUGCUCAAAUGAUUUGUGUUGAUUGAGUUUCAGUGAUCGAUGAGCA